GGAAAGAGUAUUUCAUGCACUUUGUUCUGAAUGUUCUUUCCCCACAGGUGUGACCUGGCUAGCCUCCAUCAUCAUUGUGUUUUCAUAGGUGGAAAUUCCAAAUAAUGCUGUGUGUAUGUGACAUCCUUUGCUGAAGAUUCAAUUUAAACCAAAUCAUUUCUGCCAGAGGAAUUCAAGUUAACCAGUGGUGAAGAGAUGAGCUGUCCCAGCUCUCUCAUCCUCCUCCUGCGUGUGAGUUGCUUCAUGGACAUCUUCCUUAGUCACACCUCAGCAUGUUCAUCUCUCCUCUGCUGGGGAGCCCUGAUAUGGACCCAGCACUCCAGAUGUGCCUCUCCAGGGCUGCAGAGACAAAUGAUCACUUCUCAUGACCUUGUGGAAACACUCUUCCUACCUCAGCCCAGGAAGCUUUGCUAUUUUUUACUGCAAAGGCACGUUGCUGGCUGUGAAUCUAUUAGCUCUCCACAAGGACUCUCAACUCCUUCAGAGCUGCCUUCCAGCUGGUGGGUCCCCAGUGUGUACUGGUACACGGGAGGAUUCCUCCACAGAGGAAGGGACUGGCCUUUUCCUUCACUGAACCAUGCAAAGUCCUUGUUAGUCCAUCUCUCCAGCCUGUUAAAGACCCCCUGAAUGGCAACACAACCAACUGGUGCAUCAAACCCUCCUCACUGUUUUGUAUCUUCUGCAAACUCUGUCCCAUUGACCAGGUCAUUGUUGAAAACACUAGACAGUGCUGGAUCCAGUACCAACUCCUGGAUUACUUCACUAAUGACUGGCCUCCAAGCUGGCUUGUUUGCCUCUCAACCUCUGAGGAGCUCAGUUUUAAGUCCACAUUACUGUUCAUUUAUCUAGCUCAUAUUUAAUCAGAUUUUCUAUGGGACUUUUAGGAGACAGUGUCUAAAGACUUUCUUAUGUUGAGCUACACAGCAUUCACUGCUCACCCUUCACCCACCAGGCAGUCAAGUCAUUCAAGAAGGCUAUCAAGUUAAAAACAUGCUGACUGCUCCCAGUCAUCUAUUUGUCCUUUAUGUUUGGAAAUGGUUUACAGGACUAUUUGCUCUGUCACCUUUCCAAGUACCAAGGUAAAGCUGACUGAUCUGAGGUUCCCCAGAUUCUCUUUCUUGACCUUCUGAUCAUCGGAAGCGACAUUUUCUUUUUUCAGUCUCAGAAAUGUCCCCUUAUUUGACACAGCAAAGUUUCUUAGCAUAUAAAAUAUCUGGGGAGUUGAAAAGAUUUGUGGGGCUUUUUUUGCCUCUAAUGUCUGUAAUUCUUUAUAAUUAUUUCCAUGGCUAUUUGCUUAAUUUUGAAUUAAAAUAAAAGAAAAGAAGAUCAGAACAAACAGCUGUGCCUGGACAAAUAUUGUUCAGAUAAUUGCCCACCAUAAAGAACUAAAAGGAGAAUUUCUUUUGUGCUGUGCUAAACAUUUUUACUCUGUUGUUACUGGGAUCUGUUUAACAAGCAAAUGUAAAAAACCCUAAAGUUAGCUUUACAACAUAAUUUUUGACAGAACACAAUGAUGAAUAAAAUAAUUUCUUGUCCCUCAGAGCUAGUAUGUAAUCAAUGACAAACGAAACACAGGGGCAGGAACUGAAGGUGAACACUGAAAAUCCCAAGUGCAGUUCAAUUGUCUGCAAUGCAGGGAAGUUUUUUAAGGUCAUUAUCAGCCUGAUAGCAGCAGAGAACAUUCCCUUGUACCUUUUAUCAGCGAACAACUGAGCAACAAACAAUGCAGCCUUAGAAAU